rnacentral:rRNA from 1 species
GAUGAACGCUGGCGGCGUGCUUAACACAUGCAAGUCGAACGGAAAGGCCCAAGCUUGCUUGGGUACUCGAGUGGCGAACGGGUGAGUAACACGUGGGUGAUCUGCCCUGCACUUCGGGAUAAGCCUGGGAAACUGGGUCUAAUACCGGAUAGGACCACAUUUUGGAUGGUGUGGUGGAAAGUUUUUCGGUGUGGGAUGAGCUCGCGGCCUAUCAGCUUGUUGGUGGGGUAAUGGCCUACCAAGGCGUCGACGGGUAGCCGGCCUGAGAGGGUGUACGGCCACAUUGGAACUGAGAUACGGGCCAGACUCCGACGGGAGGCAGCAGUGGGGAAUAUUGGACAAUGGGCGAAAGCCUGAUGCAGCGACGCCGCGUGGGGGAUGACGGCCUUCGGGUUGUAAGCUCCUUUCGCUAGGGACGAAGCGUUUUUGUGACGGUACCUGGAGAAGAAGCACCGGCUAACUACGUG